CAGUGAUAAACUGGAGGAAGGUGGGGAUGACGUCAAGUCAUCAUGGCCCUUACGAGUAGGGCUACACACGUGCUACAAUGGCAUAUACAAAGAGAAGCGACCUCGCGAGAGCAAGCGGACCUCAUAAAGUAUGUCGUAGUCCGGAUUGGAGUCUGCAACUCGACUCCAUGAAGUCGGAAUCGCUAGUAAUCGUGGAUCAGAAUGCCACGGUGAAUACGUUCCCGGGCCUUGUACACACCGCCCGUCACACCAUGGGAGUGGGUUGCAAAAGAAGUAGGUAGCUUAACCUUCGGGAGGGCGCUUACCACUUUGUGAUUCAUGACUGGGGUGAAGUCGUAACAAGGUAACCGUAGGGGAACCUGCGGUUGGAUCACCUCCUUA
rnacentral:rRNA from 3 species